CUACUCUACAGGCUAUACUCCUAUACUCUGAUACUCUACAGCCUCAGGUAUUGCAUAGAAAUUGUUGUGUAACCGGUAGGUCGACAUUUAGAACAUUAUAAAUUUAUGUUCCGGGUUGUUCAAAUACCUUUGCUAAAACUAUUAUCUGAACCAUAAAAGGAUUGUUUUCUUAUUCUGUAUUCAAGUUUCUGUUUAAACCUUUAAACAUGUUUUGGCUUUUUGUGAUUUCUACUUUCAUUUCAUUUUCAUUUGACAUACUUUCACUUUGACAGGAAG
rnacentral:lncRNA from 1 species